rnacentral:snoRNA from 1 species
AUCCUUUUGUGGUUCAUAAGCAUGAUGAAUGGGUGCUGAUGUUUUUGUGUGAGAUGUGCCUCCCUCAAACCUUGUUACGACGUCAGCACAUUACUCAUCUGAAA